GGAGAGGAGGGGCAGGGAGUGAAGAGGAAGAGGGAGGGCGAGCAGAAGGAGGAAGAGGCGGGACAAGGCUCAGAGAAGAAAAAGAUGGACGAGGAGUCGAUGGCGUCCAUGUUGGCUGAUUUCGUCGCCUGUCCUCCUGACGAUGAGGACGGAGCGUCUGGAUCAAACCGCUCAUAGACUUGAACUGAUGUUGUCGAGGUUACCAUGGAGACUGUAUCAUUAGAGACGUUGCCUCCUCGCCACAUCCUCCAUCAUGGUUGAACGCUCUCAGUGUUCACGUCACUUCUGUUGAGACGUGAGGCGUCUUUGUGAGUGACGUUCCAUCGACCAGGUUAAUAAAGGUAAAAGUAGAGUGAGGUUUAAUAAAAAAGAAGACUCCUCCCACAGUCCAGCUGACUCAGUUUGUGUAAAGUCUUAUUUGUACCUUUCAUUAUUUUUGUUUCAUCACUGAUUUCAAAAGUAAAAUCAUCCAACACGAGUGAAAACAUGAAA